UACAGAGGAGCCAAGCGUUGUCCGGAUUGACUGGGCGUAAAGCGCACGCAGGCGGACGCGCGCGUGGGGUGUGAAAUCUGGCCGCUUAACGGCCAGGCGCCAUCCCAUACGGCGCGACUGGAGUGAUGCAGAGGUCGAUGGAAUUGCCGGUGUAGUGGUGAAAUGCGUAGAGAUCGGCAGGAACACCCAGGGGGAAACCA
rnacentral:rRNA from 1 species